AGCGAACGCUGGCGGCAGGCCUAACACAUGCAAGUCGAGCGCGUGUAGCAAUACACGAGCGGCAGACGGGAGAGUAACACGUGGGAACGCGCCCUUCGGUUCGGAAUAACUCAGGGAAACUUGAGCUAAUACCGGAUACGCCCUUACGGGGAAAGAUUUAUUGCCGAAGGAACGGCCCGCGUCCGAUUAGCUAGUUGGUGAGGUAAUGGCUCACCAAGGCGACGAUCGGUAGCUGGUCUGAGAGGAUGACCAGCCUCACUGGGACUGAGACACGGCC
rnacentral:rRNA from 1 species